AUAUUUCGGAACUGAGUCUAGUUCCUUCGAUAUCAGUGUAAUCUAAUAUUUAUGAAAUCUGAGAUUUCAUAAAAAUUAGAUUACACUGAUAUCGAAGGAACUAGACUCAGUUCCGAAAUAU